CAAAAACAUCGUCUUCUGAAAACCUAUGAUAGAAGAUAAUGCCUGCCCAGUGAAAUUUUAAACGGCCGCGUUAGCGUGAGCGUGCUAAGGUAGCGUAAUAAUUAGCCUUUUAAUUGAAGGCCAGUGAAUGGCAAGACUAGGAACACCUUUAUUUUAUAUAUCAAAAUAACUUCUUAUCUAAGUGAAAAAACUUAGAUGAUAAAGGUAGACGAAAAGACCCCGCGGAGCUUCACCUUUUCUUAUACUAUCUUACACUCUCUAUAAGUAUUUAAGGUUUGAUUGGGGCAAUCUUGGAACCAACAAAGCUUCCAAUUUUCUUAAAAACCUAUUUAAAAUUUACUAAGGACUAAAAAGAAGUUACCCCGGGGAUAACAGCGUAAUCCAAUUUAAGAGUACAUAUCGAAAGUU
rnacentral:rRNA from 1 species